GAGUUUGAUCCUGGCUCAGGAUGAACGCUGGCGGCGUGCCUAACACAUGCAAGUCGAACGGAUCCAUAUUGAAACCUAGUGAUGUAUGGAUUAGUGGCGGACGGGUGAGUAACGCGUGGAUAACCUGCCGUAUACAGGGGAUAACACUUAGAAAUAGGUGCUAAUACCGCAUAAGCGCACGGUUCCGCAUGGAACAGUGUGAAAAACUUCGGUGGUAUACGAUGGAUCCGCGUCUGAUUAGCCAGUUGGCGGGGUAACGGCCCACCAAAGCGACGAUCAGUAGCCGGCCUGAGAGGGUGAACGGCCACAUUGGGACUGAGACACGGCCCAAACUCCUACGGGAGGCAGCAGUGGGGAAUAUUGCACAAUGGGGGAAACCCUGAUGCAGCGACGCCGCGUGAGUGAAGAAGUAUCUCGGUACGUAAAGCUCUAUCAGCAGGGAAGAAAAUGACGGUACCUGAUUAAGAAGCCCCGGCUAACUACGUGCCAGCCGCCGCCGU
rnacentral:rRNA from 1 species